UUGUUGCACUGCUACAGUGAGAAAGCACGCAGCUGGGGGCAGAAGGAAGGGAGCUGAGCAAAGGCUGCAGAGCGCAGCCAUCAGCGCGUGAGAAGAAGCGGCGUGCCGUGAGGGAAAGGCGGCGACGGCGGCAAACGGUCUCCAGAGCUGAGGUGCGACGGGGCCGAGGACCUGCUGUGGAAGGCAGGAGCAAGCAAGAGGAUGCGGAAGCGUGCAGACGCGGGGGGGAAGGAGAGGCACUCUGGGCAAAGCAGCCGUCCCGUUAGCGGGGCCGCAGUCACAUUUAGUCCCAUUGGAGUUUGAGCGUUGCCGGCGCCUUGGCCGGCUUUGUGCUGGGCGACCUCCCUGUAAGCAGGGCUCGGGUCUUUGCUUUUGCUGUAGUUGGCCUUUUGCCUUGCUGCUCCUUUGGCUGCCUGGGGAGCGUGGGCCCCUGUAACGCAGGGCGAGAGCCACCUCUCCGCACCUGAGUGGGAAACGGAGCUCGCCGGACCCCGAGGCCUCCCUGUAAGCAGGGUAGUGCCCUUUCCCCGCCCCUCUUCCUCCUCCGGCCCCUCGGCAUCGUUGCCUGGAGGUGGCCUGUCAAUGCGACGGCCCCGUACUCGGGGUGUGCGUCACGGCAUCUGGCCUUUGGCUUUAGCUGGGAAGCCCCUUGGCACGUUGAGGUCUGUGGCCUCCGUGCAGGCUAGGGACAGGUCACAGGCUCUUGUCUGUUGCCCGCGGUUGUGGGUUUAUUCCCAGGGUUUGGCUGCGCUGGGUUGUCCUUCCCUUCGGGAAAGCCGCCUCUGUGUGUGCGCGUUGCCCUUCCUUUCCUUGGUUGUGUCUGUGGAGUGACAGAGCGACUGAGCUUUCCCUUUAGGCCCCCACAAAGAUGGCUGCAGCUUAGCUUCGACUUCCCUGGGGGGAAUGGAGGACUGUGGUGCACGCCGCAAAAGGGGUGUUCCCUCUCAGUCCCGCGAGCGCAGCGAGUGUCCUGUCUUCCUCCUUUGUACUUGGUGUAGAUCAGGGCCACGUGGUAGUUGUGUGGCCGAGGCCGCCCUGUAGCCAGGGCUUGGGCCUGUUCUUGCGUGGGCGCCUGUUCCGCUGGCGGCGUGACAGCCCCGUACCCGGGGCGUGUGUCCCAAGCUGCGGAGCCCUCUGUCCCCCGAGCGGCCCGCCCGCCCUGUAAUCAGGCGCGGGGAGGCUGCGGCGUUGCAGCCGGCUGCUCUAGCCAUCCAGCUGGUGGGAAUGACCCCUCCCUGUCCCGUCAGAGGGUGCAGGUUGAGGCGCUGCUUUUGCGUGUGGGGCGACCUCCCCGCUCGGUGGGUCGAGGUUGCUCCCUGGGUUCCCAAAGACGAGAGGUUGGUGCUGUUGUGCUGCUGCCGGGCGGGCCCGCCUGUAGCUCAGGCGUUGGCGGGAGCCUCGUGCUCCGCGGGGCUUCUUGGUGAGGGUGGGCAGUGGGGGUACCGUCCUGUAGGCAGGGCUGCGCGUGCCCCCCGGUGUGUGCUUGCUUGGUGAGCUGCGUUGUGAGAGACCCCCUGUACUCAGGCGGGCAUGUGGCCCCGGCCUUUCAGAGGCACGGGGCCGCGAGACGUGGGCUUGGGCUUGCGCCCUGCCCGGAACCAGGGCUGGGGUCCCGACCGCGGCAUUUGGCCGUGCCGCCCCGCUGCCUGGCAGCUGCGAGUCGCUCCCGCCGCUGGGGGGGAAACCGAGCUCUGUGGCUCCAGGGGUGUCGUCCACCCGCCUGUAAUCAGGGUCUGGGUGCGCGAGCGCUUGUGCUCAGCUGGCAGCCUGUGUGGGGUGACCGCCCCGCUAGCGGGGUGCGGGUCCAGGUGCCCCCGGACUGGGAGAGAAGGAGCCUCCCGCGGCCGCUAGGGAUGGGGGCUGCCCUGUAAGCCAGGGAGCGACAGUGCCCCGCAGUCCCAGGCCCUUUGCAAUGGAGGCAGUGGCCGGGGGUCCCCUGUAAGCAGGGAAGCUGCCUCUUUGGCCGCUGCUGUGUGUGUGUGCCCAGCUCCAUUUGCCCAGUCUGCCCGCCUCUGUGAUCCCCCGCAGCACCGGCUGGAAGGGCGCCGUGCGCCAGCGAGGAGCUGCUGCGGAAGAAAGAAGGAGAAGCGGCGUGGGGACGCUGGAGGCAGGAGCGAGGCAACAAGCAAGCAAGCAAGCAAGCAAGCAAGAAGAGGAUGCGGAAGCGUGCAGACGCGGGGGGGAAGGAGAGGCAGUCUGGGCAAAGCAGCCGUCCCGUUAGCGGGGCCGCAGUCACAUUUAGUCCCAUUGGAGUUUGAGCGUUGCCGGCGCCUUGGCCGGCUUUGUGCUGGGCGACCUCCCUGUAAGCAGGGCUCGGGUCUUUGCUUUUGCUGUAGUUGGCCUUUUGCCUUGCUGCUCCUUUGGCUGCCUGGGGAGCGUGGGCCCCUGUAACGCAGGGCGAGAGCCACCUCUCCGCACCUGAGUGGGAAACGGAGCUCGCCGGACCCCGAGGCCUCCCUGUAAGCAGGGUAGUGCCCUUUCCCCGCCCCUCUUCCUCCUCCGGCCCCUCGGCAUCGUUGCCUGGAGGUGGCCUGUCAAUGCGACGGCCCCGUACUCGGGGUGUGCGUCACGGCAUCUGGCCUUUGGCUUUAGCUGGGAAGCCCCUUGGCACGUUGAGGUCUGUGGCCUCCGUGCAGGCUAGGGACAGGUCACAGGCUCUUGUCUGUUGCCCGCGGUUGUGGGUUUAUUCCCAGGGUUUGGCUGCGCUGGGUUGUCCUUCCCUUCGGGAAAGCCGCCUCUGUGUGUGCGCGUUGCCCUUCCUUUCCUUGGUUGUGUCUGUGGAGUGACAGAGCGACUGAGCUUUCCCUUUAGGCCCCCACAAAGAUGGCUGCAGCUUAGCUUCGACUUCCCUGGGGGGAAUGGAGGACUGUGGUGCACGCCGCAAAAGGGGUGUUCCCUCUCAGUCCCGCGAGCGCAGCGAGUGUCCUGUCUUCCUCCUUUGUACUUGGUGUAGAUCAGGGCCACGUGGUAGUUGUGUGGCCGAGGCCGCCCUGUAGCCAGGGCUUGGGCCUGUUCUUGCGUGGGCGCCUGUUCCGCUGGCGGCGUGACAGCCCCGUACCCGGGGCGUGUGUCCCAAGCUGCGGAGCCCUCUGUCCCCCGAGCGGCCCGCCCGCCCUGUAAUCAGGCGCGGGGAGGCUGCGGCGUUGCAGCCGGCUGCUCUAGCCAUCCAGCUGGUGGGAAUGACCCCUCCCUGUCCCGUCAGAGGGUGCAGGUUGAGGCGCUGCUUUUGCGUGUGGGGCGACCUCCCCGCUCGGUGGGUCGAGGUUGCUCCCUGGGUUCCCAAAGACGAGAGGUUGGUGCUGUUGUGCUGCUGCCGGGCGGGCCCGCCUGUAGCUCAGGCGUUGGCGGGAGCCUCGUGCUCCGCGGGGCUUCUUGGUGAGGGUGGGCAGUGGGGGUACCGUCCUGUAGGCAGGGCUGCGCGUGCCCCCCGGUGUGUGCUUGCUUGGUGAGCUGCGUUGUGAGAGACCCCCUGUACUCAGGCGGGCAUGUGGCCCCGGCCUUUCAGAGGCACGGGGCCGCGAGACGUGGGCUUGGGCUUGCGCCCUGCCCGGAACCAGGGCUGGGGUCCCGACCGCGGCAUUUGGCCGUGCCGCCCCGCUGCCUGGCAGCUGCGAGUCGCUCCCGCCGCUGGGGGGGAAACCGAGCUCUGUGGCUCCAGGGGUGUCGUCCACCCGCCUGUAAUCAGGGUCUGGGUGCGCGAGCGCUUGUGCUCAGCUGGCAGCCUGUGUGGGGUGACCGCCCCGCUAGCGGGGUGCGGGUCCAGGUGCCCCCGGACUGGGAGAGAAGGAGCCUCCCGCGGCCGCUAGGGAUGGGGGCUGCCCUGUAAGCCAGGGAGCGACAGUGCCCCGCAGUCCCAGGCCCUUUGCAAUGGAGGCAGUGGCCGGGGGUCCCCUGUAAGCAGGGAAGCUGCCUCUUUGGCCGCUGCUGUGUGUGUGUGCCCAGCUCCAUUUGCCCAGUCUGCCCGCCUCUGUGAUCCCCCGCAGCACCGGCUGGAAGGGCGCCGUGCGCCAGCGAGGAGCUGCUGCGGAAGAAAGAAGGAGAAGCGGCGUGGGGACGCGGGAGGCAGGAGCGAGGCUGCAAGCAAGCAAGCAAGCAAGCAAGCAAGCAAGCAAGCAAGAAGAGGAUGCGGAAGCGUGCAGACGCGGGGGGGAAGGAGAGGCACUCUGGGCAAAGCAGCCGUCCCGUUAGCGGGGCCGCAGUCACAUUUAGUCCCAUUGGAGUUUGAGCGUUGCCGGCGCCUUGGCCGGCUUUGUGCUGGGCGACCUCCCUGUAAGCAGGGCUCGGGUCUUUGCUUUUGCUGUAGUUGGCCUUUUGCCUUGCUGCUCCUUUGGCUGCCUGGGGAGCGUGGGCCCCUGUAACGCAGGGCGAGAGCCACCUCUCCGCACCUGAGUGGGAAACGGAGCUCGCCGGACCCCGAGGCCUCCCUGUAAGCAGGGUAGUGCCCUUUCCCCGCCCCUCUUCCUCCUCCGGCCCCUCGGCAUCGUUGCCUGGAGGUGGCCUGUCAAUGCGACGGCCCCGUACUCGGGGUGUGCGUCACGGCAUCUGGCCUUUGGCUUUAGCUGGGAAGCCCCUUGGCACGUUGAGGUCUGUGGCCUCCGUGCAGGCUAGGGACAGGUCACAGGCUCUUGUCUGUUGCCCGCGGUUGUGGGUUUAUUCCCAGGGUUUGGCUGCGCUGGGUUGUCCUUCCCUUCGGGAAAGCCGCCUCUGUGUGUGCGCGUUGCCCUUCCUUUCCUUGGUUGUGUCUGUGGAGUGACAGAGCGACUGAGCUUUCCCUUUAGGCCCCCACAAAGAUGGCUGCAGCUUAGCUUCGACUUCCCUGGGGGGAAUGGAGGACUGUGGUGCACGCCGCAAAAGGGGUGUUCCCUCUCAGUCCCGCGAGCGCAGCGAGUGUCCUGUCUUCCUCCUUUGUACUUGGUGUAGAUCAGGGCCACGUGGUAGUUGUGUGGCCGAGGCCGCCCUGUAGCCAGGGCUUGGGCCUGUUCUUGCGUGGGCGCCUGUUCCGCUGGCGGCGUGACAGCCCCGUACCCGGGGCGUGUGUCCCAAGCUGCGGAGCCCUCUGUCCCCCGAGCGGCCCGCCCGCCCUGUAAUCAGGCGCGGGGAGGCUGCGGCGUUGCAGCCGGCUGCUCUAGCCAUCCAGCUGGUGGGAAUGACCCCUCCCUGUCCCGUCAGAGGGUGCAGGUUGAGGCGCUGCUUUUGCGUGUGGGGCGACCUCCCCGCUCGGUGGGUCGAGGUUGCUCCCUGGGUUCCCAAAGACGAGAGGUUGGUGCUGUUGUGCUGCUGCCGGGCGGGCCCGCCUGUAGCUCAGGCGUUGGCGGGAGCCUCGUGCUCCGCGGGGCUUCUUGGUGAGGGUGGGCAGUGGGGGUACCGUCCUGUAGGCAGGGCUGCGCGUGCCCCCCGGUGUGUGCUUGCUUGGUGAGCUGCGUUGUGAGAGACCCCCUGUACUCAGGCGGGCAUGUGGCCCCGGCCUUUCAGAGGCACGGGGCCGCGAGACGUGGGCUUGGGCUUGCGCCCUGCCCGGAACCAGGGCUGGGGUCCCGACCGCGGCAUUUGGCCGUGCCGCCCCGCUGCCUGGCAGCUGCGAGUCGCUCCCGCCGCUGGGGGGGAAACCGAGCUCUGUGGCUCCAGGGGUGUCGUCCACCCGCCUGUAAUCAGGGUCUGGGUGCGCGAGCGCUUGUGCUCAGCUGGCAGCCUGUGUGGGGUGACCGCCCCGCUAGCGGGGUGCGGGUCCAGGUGCCCCCGGACUGGGAGAGAAGGAGCCUCCCGCGGCCGCUAGGGAUGGGGGCUGCCCUGUAAGCCAGGGAGCGACAGUGCCCCGCAGUCCCAGGCCCUUUGCAAUGGAGGCAGUGGCCGGGGGUCCCCUGUAAGCAGGGAAGCUGCCUCUUUGGCCGCUGCUGUGUGUGUGUGCCCAGCUCCAUUUGCCCAGUCUGCCCGCCUCUGUGAUCCCCCGCAGCACCGGCUGGAAGGGCGCCGUGCGCCAGCGAGGAGCUGCUGCGGAAGAAAGAAGGAGAAGCGGCGUGGGGACGCGGGAGGCAGGAGCGAGGCUGCAAGCAAGCAAGCAAGCAAGCAAGCAAGCAAGCAAGCAAGAAGAGGAUGCGGAAGCGUGCAGACGCGGGGGGGAAGGAGAGGCACUCUGGGCAAAGCAGCCGUCCCGUUAGCGGGGCCGCAGUCACAUUUAGUCCCAUUGGAGUUUGAGCGUUGCCGGCGCCUUGGCCGGCUUUGUGCUGGGCGACCUCCCUGUAAGCAGGGCUCGGGUCUUUGCUUUUGCUGUAGUUGGCCUUUUGCCUUGCUGCUCCUUUGGCUGCCUGGGGAGCGUGGGCCCCUGUAACGCAGGGCGAGAGCCACCUCUCCGCACCUGAGUGGGAAACGGAGCUCGCCGGACCCCGAGGCCUCCCUGUAAGCAGGGUAGUGCCCUUUCCCCGCCCCUCUUCCUCCUCCGGCCCCUCGGCAUCGUUGCCUGGAGGUGGCCUGUCAAUGCGACGGCCCCGUACUCGGGGUGUGCGUCACGGCAUCUGGCCUUUGGCUUUAGCUGGGAAGCCCCUUGGCACGUUGAGGUCUGUGGCCUCCGUGCAGGCUAGGGACAGGUCACAGGCUCUUGUCUGUUGCCCGCGGUUGUGGGUUUAUUCCCAGGGUUUGGCUGCGCUGGGUUGUCCUUCCCUUCGGGAAAGCCGCCUCUGUGUGUGCGCGUUGCCCUUCCUUUCCUUGGUUGUGUCUGUGGAGUGACAGAGCGACUGAGCUUUCCCUUUAGGCCCCCACAAAGAUGGCUGCAGCUUAGCUUCGACUUCCCUGGGGGGAAUGGAGGACUGUGGUGCACGCCGCAAAAGGGGUGUUCCCUCUCAGUCCCGCGAGCGCAGCGAGUGUCCUGUCUUCCUCCUUUGUACUUGGUGUAGAUCAGGGCCACGUGGUAGUUGUGUGGCCGAGGCCGCCCUGUAGCCAGGGCUUGGGCCUGUUCUUGCGUGGGCGCCUGUUCCGCUGGCGGCGUGACAGCCCCGUACCCGGGGCGUGUGUCCCAAGCUGCGGAGCCCUCUGUCCCCCGAGCGGCCCGCCCGCCCUGUAAUCAGGCGCGGGGAGGCUGCGGCGUUGCAGCCGGCUGCUCUAGCCAUCCAGCUGGUGGGAAUGACCCCUCCCUGUCCCGUCAGAGGGUGCAGGUUGAGGCGCUGCUUUUGCGUGUGGGGCGACCUCCCCGCUCGGUGGGUCGAGGUUGCUCCCUGGGUUCCCAAAGACGAGAGGUUGGUGCUGUUGUGCUGCUGCCGGGCGGGCCCGCCUGUAGCUCAGGCGUUGGCGGGAGCCUCGUGCUCCGCGGGGCUUCUUGGUGAGGGUGGGCAGUGGGGGUACCGUCCUGUAGGCAGGGCUGCGCGUGCCCCCCGGUGUGUGCUUGCUUGGUGAGCUGCGUUGUGAGAGACCCCCUGUACUCAGGCGGGCAUGUGGCCCCGGCCUUUCAGAGGCACGGGGCCGCGAGACGUGGGCUUGGGCUUGCGCCCUGCCCGGAACCAGGGCUGGGGUCCCGACCGCGGCAUUUGGCCGUGCCGCCCCGCUGCCUGGCAGCUGCGAGUCGCUCCCGCCGCUGGGGGGGAAACCGAGCUCUGUGGCUCCAGGGGUGUCGUCCACCCGCCUGUAAUCAGGGUCUGGGUGCGCGAGCGCUUGUGCUCAGCUGGCAGCCUGUGUGGGGUGACCGCCCCGCUAGCGGGGUGCGGGUCCAGGUGCCCCCGGACUGGGAGAGAAGGAGCCUCCCGCGGCCGCUAGGGAUGGGGGCUGCCCUGUAAGCCAGGGAGCGACAGUGCCCCGCAGUCCCAGGCCCUUUGCAAUGGAGGCAGUGGCCGGGGGUCCCCUGUAAGCAGGGAAGCUGCCUCUUUGGCCGCUGCUGUGUGUGUGUGCCCAGCUCCAUUUGCCCAGUCUGCCCGCCUCUGUGAUCCCCCGCAGCACCGGCUGGAAGGGCGCCGUGCGCCAGCGAGGAGCUGCUGCGGAAGAAAGAAGGAGAAGCGGCGUGGGGACGCGGGAGGCAGGAGCGAGGCUGCAAGCAAGCAAGCAAGCAAGCAAGCAAGCAAGCAAGCAAGAAGAGGAUGCGGAAGCGUGCAGACGCGGGGGGGAAGGAGAGGCACUCUGGGCAAAGCAGCCGUCCCGUUAGCGGGGCCGCAGUCACAUUUAGUCCCAUUGGAGUUUGAGCGUUGCCGGCGCCUUGGCCGGCUUUGUGCUGGGCGACCUCCCUGUAAGCAGGGCUCGGGUCUUUGCUUUUGCUGUAGUUGGCCUUUUGCCUUGCUGCUCCUUUGGCUGCCUGGGGAGCGUGGGCCCCUGUAACGCAGGGCGAGAGCCACCUCUCCGCACCUGAGUGGGAAACGGAGCUCGCCGGACCCCGAGGCCUCCCUGUAAGCAGGGUAGUGCCCUUUCCCCGCCCCUCUUCCUCCUCCGGCCCCUCGGCAUCGUUGCCUGGAGGUGGCCUGUCAAUGCGACGGCCCCGUACUCGGGGUGUGCGUCACGGCAUCUGGCCUUUGGCUUUAGCUGGGAAGCCCCUUGGCACGUUGAGGUCUGUGGCCUCCGUGCAGGCUAGGGACAGGUCACAGGCUCUUGUCUGUUGCCCGCGGUUGUGGGUUUAUUCCCAGGGUUUGGCUGCGCUGGGUUGUCCUUCCCUUCGGGAAAGCCGCCUCUGUGUGUGCGCGUUGCCCUUCCUUUCCUUGGUUGUGUCUGUGGAGUGACAGAGCGACUGAGCUUUCCCUUUAGGCCCCCACAAAGAUGGCUGCAGCUUAGCUUCGACUUCCCUGGGGGGAAUGGAGGACUGUGGUGCACGCCGCAAAAGGGGUGUUCCCUCUCAGUCCCGCGAGCGCAGCGAGUGUCCUGUCUUCCUCCUUUGUACUUGGUGUAGAUCAGGGCCACGUGGUAGUUGUGUGGCCGAGGCCGCCCUGUAGCCAGGGCUUGGGCCUGUUCUUGCGUGGGCGCCUGUUCCGCUGGCGGCGUGACAGCCCCGUACCCGGGGCGUGUGUCCCAAGCUGCGGAGCCCUCUGUCCCCCGAGCGGCCCGCCCGCCCUGUAAUCAGGCGCGGGGAGGCUGCGGCGUUGCAGCCGGCUGCUCUAGCCAUCCAGCUGGUGGGAAUGACCCCUCCCUGUCCCGUCAGAGGGUGCAGGUUGAGGCGCUGCUUUUGCGUGUGGGGCGACCUCCCCGCUCGGUGGGUCGAGGUUGCUCCCUGGGUUCCCAAAGACGAGAGGUUGGUGCUGUUGUGCUGCUGCCGGGCGGGCCCGCCUGUAGCUCAGGCGUUGGCGGGAGCCUCGUGCUCCGCGGGGCUUCUUGGUGAGGGUGGGCAGUGGGGGUACCGUCCUGUAGGCAGGGCUGCGCGUGCCCCCCGGUGUGUGCUUGCUUGGUGAGCUGCGUUGUGAGAGACCCCCUGUACUCAGGCGGGCAUGUGGCCCCGGCCUUUCAGAGGCACGGGGCCGCGAGACGUGGGCUUGGGCUUGCGCCCUGCCCGGAACCAGGGCUGGGGUCCCGACCGCGGCAUUUGGCCGUGCCGCCCCGCUGCCUGGCAGCUGCGAGUCGCUCCCGCCGCUGGGGGGGAAACCGAGCUCUGUGGCUCCAGGGGUGUCGUCCACCCGCCUGUAAUCAGGGUCUGGGUGCGCGAGCGCUUGUGCUCAGCUGGCAGCCUGUGUGGGGUGACCGCCCCGCUAGCGGGGUGCGGGUCCAGGUGCCCCCGGACUGGGAGAGAAGGAGCCUCCCGCGGCCGCUAGGGAUGGGGGCUGCCCUGUAAGCCAGGGAGCGACAGUGCCCCGCAGUCCCAGGCCCUUUGCAAUGGAGGCAGUGGCCGGGGGUCCCCUGUAAGCAGGGAAGCUGCCUCUUUGGCCGCUGCUGUGUGUGUGUGCCCAGCUCCAUUUGCCCAGUCUGCCCGCCUCUGUGAUCCCCCGCAGCACCGGCUGGAAGGGCGCCGUGCGCCAGCGAGGAGCUGCUGCGGAAGAAAGAAGGAGAAGCGGCGUGGGGACGCGGGAGGCAGGAGCAAGCAUGAACGAAGUUACUUUUAUUGUCAUUCUCAAUCAAUUAAUCUGUCAAAGCCACAGUUGAAAUGUGUGUAUUGCUGUUUUGUUGCAUCCUCUUCCCUACUUUGACGUUUUGAAAUUAAAGUUGCUUGUUUUUUUUUUCAAUCAUGUGUUCUUUUUGUCUCCAGCGUGAGUUGCAUUUUUGUUUUCAGUUAUACUGCUUUUGCCGCUUGAAGCUGAUUCAUUCUGGUUGAAUUGCCAGCCAGCCAUUAGUUUCUUUUCUCCACUCAUGAGGAAAAUCCUUUUGUCUGAGCUGAGGUUUUUUUGGUGUUUGGUCUGGGGUUUGGUGGUGACUGAUAUGGCAGAGCUCUUCUCUUGAUCU